rnacentral:rRNA from 1 species
AUGGCUGCAGAUUCCGUCGGCACCGCGUCAUCGCCACCGCCGCUACCCCACCGCGACCCUUCCCGUGACUUCUCACACGAGGCGUCCUCCUCAUCCUCCUCGCGCGCCGCGGGGGCACAGCCGGUGUCGUGUGAUGGCCGCGCUGAGGAGGACGUGCUGGACAUUGACUCUCCGUGGGUCGCGGCGGCCGCGGCUGAUUCGAGGCUGGAGGAAGCCGCGGCUUGCCUUCAGCCUGAGAGCGAGGCGGACGAAGACGAGAUACGAAACAAUCAGGAGCGACAAGAGGACGAGCUGAUGGCAUUGGAAGCAAUAUAUGGGGAUGACCUCGUCGAAUUCAGAAGCAAAGCAGGGCUCCGCUAUUUCCAGAUCUGCAUACGUUACGAUCUUCAUGAUGACGCUCAAGUGUGUGCCAGGCUUUCUUCAGCUACUGAAAAAGCAAAAUAUGGAGGAUGUCCUGAUGAUGAUCAUGACACAAAAGAACAUGAUGCUGGGCCUGAUGAAUUCUCUUACACCUGCAACUUUGAGUACUUGCCUCCUUUGAUAUUGACAUGCCUACUUCCAAAAUCGUAUCCUAGCAAAGAGCCCCCGUAUUUUACUGUAACCGCUAAAUGGAUGGAUGGGCCUGAUGUUUCUCAACUCUGUGAGAUGCUUGAUACUAUCUGGGCAGAGCUGCCAGGGCAGGAAGUGAUAUAUCAAUGGGUCGAGUGGAUACGAAGUUCUUCCUUGUUAAAUCUCUGGUUUGAUGGCAAAAUAUUGUUAGGUCAAGACAUUCAGAGCAGGAGACACAACGGAGAUCGGCGUGCAAUCUCAAGAAGUAUCUCACUGGAGUCUGUGAUCCCUUCCAUGCUCAGCUACAGUAGUAAGAAACGUUACCAAGCUUUUCUUGAGGACCUCCAUAUGUGCAAGAUAUGCCUUAACCAGUGGAAAGGUUCAAACUUCAUCAAGCUUCCAUGCCAGCACUUGUAUUGUGUGAAGUGCAUGGAGACGUUAUGCAAGAUGCAUGUGAAGGAAGGCACUUUGUUUCAGUUAGUUUGCCCUGACACCAAGUGCAAUACUUCCAUUCCACACCAUCUGCUAAAGAGGCUUCUUAGCAAAGAAGAGUUUGAACGCUGGGAUAGGCUUGCUCUGGAGAAAGCGUUGGACUCAAUGGCAGACGUGGUUUACUGCCAAAAAUGUGUGGUUGGUUGCGUGGAAGAUGAGGAUAACAAUGCAGAAUGUCCGAAAUGUUCGUAUACCUUCUGCGGUUUUCGCAAGGAAUUAUGGCAUCCAGGGAAACAAUGUCUAACUCCAGAACAAAAGCUCCAACGUCGGAGGGGGUCAGGCAGAAUGACUGAGAGGGAGGUAGCGCAAGAACUAUCGAACAUCAGAGAGUUAUACAAAGAUGUUCGGGUAUGUCCGAAAUGCCGAAUUGCCAUCGCCAAAAGUGAAGGCUGCAACAAAAUGGUGUGUGGAAACUGUGGUCAGUUCUUUUGCUUCCGCUGCGGCAAGGCGAUCCGUGGCUACAGUCAUUUCACGAACUGUCGCCUCUUUGAGUCUCAUGACAUGACAGACUUGGAUAGACAAAUAGAUGAACUGCAAUUUGGAAACCAGAUGCGGAAUCAGUUGAAACCAGUAGGCGCUAUGGUGAGAUGUCCAAGGUGUCGUGAAAUGACUUUCAAGGACGAUGAGAAAUAUAUCUUCUGUAUGGUGUGCGCAGCAAGCUCUUGCACAAUGUGCAAACGGAUAAUCACGGAUAGGAGGAUGAAGAGCGGGCACUGGGGGUCGUCAGAAUGCUACUCCUUGUAG